rnacentral:rRNA from 1 species
UACAGAGGUCUCAAGCGUUGUUCGGAUUCAUUGGGCGUAAAGGGUGCGUAGGUGGGGCUGGAAGUCAGGUGUGAAAUCUCGGGGCUCAACCCCGAAACUGCACUUGAUACAGCGGUGCUCGAGGACUGGAGAGGAGAUCGGAAUUCAUGGUGUAGCAGUGAAAUGCGUAGAUAUCAUGAGGAAGACCAGUGGCGAAGGCGGAUCUCUGGACAGUUCCUGACACUGAGGCACGAAAGCCAGGGGAGCAAACGGG